CGGCGAGUGAAGCGGGAAGAGCUCAAAUUUGAAAUCUGGCAGUCUUCGAUUGUCCGAGUUGUAAUCUAUAGAGGCGUUUUCCGUGCCGGACCGUGUCCAAGUCUCCUGGAAAGGAGUAUCAAAGAGGGUGAUAAUCCCGUACUUAACACGACCACCGGUGCUCUGUGAUACGUCUUCUACGAGUCGAGUUGUUUGGGAAUGCAGCUCAAAAUGGGUGGUGAAUUCCAUCUAAAGCUAAAUAUUGGCGAGAGACCGAUAGCGAACAAGUACCGUGAGGGAAAGAUGAAAAGCACUUUGGAAAGAGAGUUAAACAGUACGUGAAAUUGUUGAAAGGGAAACGAUUGAAGUCAGUCGUGUUCAUUGGAUUCAGCCAGUUCUGCUGGUCUACUUCCUUUGAACGGGUCAACAUCAGUUUUGUCCGGUGGAUAAAGGCAGUAGGAAAGUGACUUCUCCGGAAGUGUUAUAGCCUGCUGUCACAUACACUGGGUGAGACUGAGGACUGCAGCUCGCCUUUAUGGCCGGGGUCGC
rnacentral:rRNA from 1 species